GUAUUUUAUUGCGUUAAACGCGGCAUGCAUUCCAUAAGACUUUGUUACGGUGUGUAUGUAAAGAUGCAGAACCACAGCAGGAGAGGACAGGUCCCCCCCAACCAUAGAACUACAGAGGGUGCACAGGGUGUGAGUGGAUGUGUUAACAGAGCGUGCACAUGCCCCCAUCUGGGGACCAGCAACAACUCUUGUUGACAAUUCGGUAAUGAUCCUUCCGCAGGUUCACCUACGGAAA
rnacentral:misc_RNA from 1 species